rnacentral:RNase_P_RNA from 1 species
CAAGUUGACUGUAUGUUUGCGUAAUAUUUACAGAUAUUAUGAGGAAAGUCCGUGCAUUACAGAGCAAGGUAGCCGCUAACGGCGGCCGAGGGCGACCUUAGGGAAAGUGCAACAGAAAUAUACCGGCUGGUGGGUGAGGGUUCUUUUAGGAGGAUUUUCGAUGGCUAAGGGAAUGUUUGGGAUGAAUUUUCUUUUCAAAGAUUUUCUGUGUCUUAAAUCUCAACAGCUAAGGGUGAAAAGGUGCGGUAAGAGCGUACCUCUGAUUUGCGUAAGCAAGUCAGGCUGUAAACCCUGCCUAAUGCAAGUUUGAUGUGGGUGUCGGUGAUAAUUAUUUGAGUUAUCUUUAUGUGAGGAGUUCUCCCUUACACCGAACGUUUGCUCGACGUACCCCGAAAAAACGCUUGACAGCGAAGGCAACUUCGUAAGUUUUUAACUUGACGGAAACUUUUGUUACCGUUUGCAGAUAAAUAAACAUACUCGACAGAACACGGCUUAUAGGUCAACUUAUUUU